AACAAGUUGACAGAUAAAUGUAUAUAAUUUAGAAUUAUAUAAUAGAUGUAAUAUCUACUUGUUA
rnacentral:tRNA from 1 species